AUGCAGAUGUGUACUGGCCCUCCAAGUGGCCGAGUGAUCUCUCAAAGCAGUGCUGGGAUGAACAAGUUUGAGUACAGUGACCCUCGCCAAUCCCUAAUUUCAGAAGCUAUUGCCAAGAUGAUCAUCCGAGACCUGCAGCCGGCACAGAUAGUGGAAUAUGAGGGUUUUCGUGAGCUUCUUCAGCUCCUGGAGCCCCGUUACAUUCCGGUACCAUGCCAUUAUAUACAACAGCAGCUCCUGCCAGCCUAUGUCUCCCAAGUGCAACUAGCUGCCAAGCAGGCUCUAAAAGGAGCUGAGUCCUGCAGUGUAACCCUUGACCUGUGGAGAAGCAGCUCUGCAGGUAACAACAGUGGUGCUGGGUUUCUUGGAGUGACUUGCCAUUUCAUAAAUGCAGACUGGCACAUCAGAUCUACUCUUUUGGCAUGCUUACCUCUUCCAGACCACAGCAACACACAGCAAAUGCUCAGCGAGUUUGAUGAGAUCUCCGAAUCCCAUGGCAUGUCUGGCAAAGUGUUCAGAGUCGUCGCAGACUUGUUGCCCUGUGAAAAUAGAUCUGCUUUUCGUCUUCCUGGGUUCAGUCUCAUUGGAAAUGAUGAAGAAGAGGAGGAAGAUGGCAGCGAAGAAGAGUCUAGUGAAGCCAAAGAAGCCAUUAGUAGCAACGAGAACUGCAAGUCUUUAGAUCAGUGUCUUGGUCGAAGUAGGAUAGACUGCUUUGCUCGAUUGCUAGCUCAGUGUGUUAAGGAAGGAGUUUGCGCUUCCCCUCAGAUAUCAGUUCCUCUAAACAAAGCAGCCCGCCUGUAUAACUACAUAAUUGCUACAGUGGCUCAUGAAAAACUUGUCCAAGUGUUCGGCUCCAGUACCUUAACAAAUUGUCACUCAUCCACAGACAAGUGGAACGCUCAGUUAAAAAUUUUGCGGCAAAUGGUGGAGUCAAUGGAUUUUCUUGAGGACAUUGUGGAAAUAAAUGACCUAGUCCUCGGUAACUUAGAAAAAGCAGUGCUGCGGGAGCUGGUUGAGGUGUUGGAGC
ensembl:lncRNA